CCCUUAGAUGUUCUGGGCUGCACGCGCGCUACACUGAUGCGCUCAACGAGUUUUAACCUUGCCUGGAAAGGUUGGGUAAUCUUUUUAAAACGCAUCGUGAUGGGGAUAGAUUAUUGCAAUUAUUAAUCUUCAACGAGGAAUUCCUAGUAAGCGCGAGUCAUCAGCUCGUGCUGAUUACGUCCCUGCCCUUUGUACACACCGCCCGUCGCUCCUACUGAUUGAGUGUCUCGGUGAAUUCUUUGAUCUUCUGUCGAUUCAGUUCACUGAUCCGACGGUGGAAAGUUGAAUGAACUUCGUCACUUAGAGGAAGGAGAAGUCGUAACA
rnacentral:rRNA from 1 species